UACGGGGGGGGCAAGCGUUGUUCGGAAUUACUGGGCGUAAAGGGCUCGUAGGCGGCCAACUAAGUCGGAUGUGAAAUCCCCAGGCUUAACUUGGGAACUGCAUCCGAUACUGGAUGGCUUGAGUUUGGGAGAGGGAUGCGGAAUUCCAGGUGUAGCGGUGAAAUGCGUAGAUAUCUGGAGGAACACCGGUGGCGAAGGCGGCGUUCUGGACUGCUACUGACACUGAGGAACGAAGCCAGGGGAGCAAACGGG
rnacentral:rRNA from 1 species